GGGAACGGCCGAGGUCAUGCCAUGCUAGUCUUUUGUGGCAGAUUGGACGGUUGAGAGAGGAAGACUUAAAUCUAAUGGUUUAAACUGUCUCUAAUUUAAUGGCCACGAUCGAACCAUGACCACUGUAAAAUGGGGAUAAGAUUGAAAAAAUAAAGGCAGAAAACUUUAAAUCGGUAAUCUAGGACUUGUGGAUGGAAGAGAGAAGAAGAAGAGAAUUUAGUAGCCAGAACGCCUCGCAUGACAGUCGCAGGCACCACUGUGACGAGAGAUCUGUGUGCAUUUUGUGCGUGUGUGGCAGCAUAAGUGAAGAAAAGAGAGUCAAGCCAUAAACUCUCUAUUUUAUCUAAGAUAUCGAGAAGAUGCAAGGAUUUUGAUUGAAAUCCAGCCACUGACGAGAGGGGUUCGAAAGAGGACUAACACUGCAACCUAAUACUAUUACUCGGGAGCAGGAUGUAAGUUAAAUUUGUCUUUCACAACACAAAUAGAAAUUACAUACUGAAUUAGCAUUGUGUUAGAAUUAUGAUUUUGGGUGUUGAAAUGACUUGGAUUUUGUGUGGGGGGUGGUUGUUAUGAUAGAGCUUAGAGAGGAUAAUCAAGUGGACAGUGAGGGUGAAUAAAGGAGCCAUUAGAGGUCGGAUAUGAGAAUUGCUUGGUGGAAAUUAGUGAAGUAGAAAGCAAGAAAAACAAAAGAAAAAAAAUAGAGAGAUGGGAGAGGCUAGGGAUGAAAUCGGAUAGGAGAUAAAAAUCGAGCUAGCCAGGACGAGAAAAAUGAGAGAUCCAUUAGAGCAGAAGGAGAGUUCAAUACGUGAAAAGAAAAAAAAAAAAAGAGAAGAUACCGUAAGAGUUUCUGCGAGCUUUAAUGUGUAGGAAUAGAGUAUAGAAUGGAAUUGGUUUCUGUGUUCAAAA